GACGAACGCUGGCGGCGUGCUUAACACAUGCAAGUCGAACGGAAAGGCCCUGCUUUUGUGGGGUUCUCGAGUGGCGAACGGGUGAGUAACACGUGUGUAACCUGCCCUUGACUUUGGGAUAACUUCUGGAAACUGGGGCUAAUACCGGAUAUGAUCUCCUGCUGCAUGUUGGUGGUUGGUAAGUUUCGGCGGUUGGGGAUGGACUCGCGGCUUAUCAGCUUGUUGGUCGGGUAGUUGCUUACCAAGGCUUUGACGGGUAGCCGGCCUGUGAGGGUUACCGGCGACAUUGGGACUAAGAGAGGGAGAAGAAUGGAACGGGAGGCAGCAGUGGGGAAUAUGACACAAUGGGGGGAAGCGAGAUGCAGAAACGCCGGGAGCGGGAUGACGGCCUUCGGGGUGUAAACAGAUUUCGCCUGUGACGAAGAGAGAGUGACGGUAAUGGGUAAAGAAGCACCGGCUAACUACGUG
rnacentral:rRNA from 1 species